GCUCAUGACGAACGCUGCGGCGUGCCUAAUACAUGCAAGUCGAGCGGACUUGACGGAAGCUUGCUUCCGUUCAAGUUAGCGGCGGACGGGUGAGUAACACGUGGGUAACCUGCCUGUAAGACUGGGAUAACUCCGGGAAACCCGGGGCUAAUACCGGAUAUUCUUUUUCUUCGCAUGAAGAAGAAUGGAAAGGCGGCUUUUAGCUGUCGCUUACAGAUGGACCCGCGGCGCAUUAGCUAGUUGGUGAGGUAACGGCUCACCAAGGCAACGAUGCGUAGCCGACCUGAGAGGGUGAUCGGCCACACUGGGACUGAGACACGGCCCAGACUCCUACGGGAGGCAGCAGUAGGGAAUCUUCCGCAAUGGACGAAAGUCUGACGGAGCAACGCCGCGUGAGUGAAGAAGGUUUUCGGAUCGUAAAGCUCUGUUGUCAGGGAAGAACAAGUACGGAAGUAACUGUCCGUACCUUGACGGUACCUGACCAGAAAGCCACGGCUAACUACGUGCCAGCAGCCGCGGUAAUACGUAGGUGGCAAGCGUUGUCCGGAAUUAUUGGGCGUAAAGCGCGCGCAGGCGGCUUCUUAAGUCUGAUGUGAAAGCCCACGGCUCAACCGUGGAGGGUCAUUGGAAACUGGGAGGCUUGAGUGCAGAAGAGGAGAGCGGAAUUCCACGUGUAGCGGUGAAAUGCGUAGAGAUGUGGAGGAACACCAGUGGCGAAGGCGGCUCUCUGGUCUGUAACUGACGCUGAGGCGCGAAAGCGUGGGGAGCGAACAGGAUUAGAUACCCUGGUAGUCCACGCCGUAAACGAUGAGUGCUAA
rnacentral:rRNA from 1 species